GACGAACGCUGGCGGCGUGCUUAACACAUGCAAGUCGAACGAUGAAGCCGGAGCUUGCUCUGGUGAAUUAGUGGCGAACGGGUGAGUAACACGUGAGUAACCUGCCCUUGACUCUGGGAUAACUGCGGGAAACUGUAGCUAAUACCGGAUACGACCCUCGGAGGCAUCUCCUGGGGGUGGAAAGAAUUUCGGUCAAGGAUGGACUCGCGGCCUAUCAGCUAGUCGGUGAGGUAAAGGCUCACCAAGGCGACGACUGGUAGCCGGCCUGAGAGGGUGACCGGCCCCACUGGGACUGAGACACGGCCCAGACUCCUACGGGAGGCAGCAGUGGGGAAUAUUGCACUAUGGGCGCAAGCCUGAUGCAGUAACGCCGCGUGAGGGAUGACGGGCUUCGGGUUGUAAACCUCUUUUAGCAGGGAAGAAGCGAAAGUGACGGUACCUGCAGAAAAAGCACCGGCUAACUACGUGCCAGCCGCCGCCGUAAAAC
rnacentral:rRNA from 1 species